UGCCAGCCGCCGCGGUAAUACGGAAGGUGCGAGCGUUAAUCGGAAUCACUGGGCGUAAAGCGCACGUAGGCGGUUGCGUAAGUCGGAUGUGAAAGCCCCGGGCUUAACCUGGGAAUUGCAUUCGAUACUGCAUGGCUAGAGUAUGGUAGAGGGAAGUGGAAUUUCCGGUGUAGCGGUGAAAUGCGUAGAUAUCGGAAGGAAUACCAGUGGCGAAGGCGCUGGCCUGGUCGGAUACUGACGCUGAGGUGUGAUAGCGUGGGGAGCAAACAGGAUUAGAUA
rnacentral:rRNA from 1 species